GCCCUCGCCACCAAGCGGCAUGCUUUCCCGUGAGCGGGCUUCUUCAACACAUGUUUAUCUGAAUUUCUACAAGCUAAAUUAGUACAGGCUUCUCUGAACGUUGGCCUGUAUUGGAUUCUUGUAUGUUAUGAUUUGCCCAAUCUGCUCUUCCUACACCCAUGGAUAGGGCAAGAAAAAUAAUUAGAAAGCAUGAAAGAUGCUGUAUCAAUUGUUUUAGCUCUUCCUACACCCAACCGCCACAUUCUAAAUUCUGAAGGUUCCAGCUAGAAUUCCCGUUCAGUUCAUACAUUCCAAUUUAGCGUUUUAGUUCAAAAUUAGAAGUUGGAUUCUGUGUAUAGUUAUUCUCAUGUCCAUCAUAUGAACUAUGCGUGUGUACUCAUGUUGAAUUAAUGUGUGAUACUGAGUCUUUGCAUUUUCAAUCGCCUUGCUUUUUCUUCAUGAUUUGGUGCAUGUGCAUUUUCACAUAAUUUGUAACAAACCAAUUCAUAUUUUUGUCGAGCUUGAAUCAUUUUGUUCUUUCAUAAUGGUUGGAGAUGUGGUUUAGGAGGAUCAGCAGCUAAUGGCAAACGCGUUAGCGAGCUCCGAGUGUGGUGGCCCGUGCAACAUGAAGAAGACCAUCCGGACAAAGGGCAGGUACACAAAUAGCCAAGAAUACAAGGAGACGUGCAGGUCUGCAUUUAUGAGUUUUAUCUCUUUUAGCACUAGCGAUUAAAUGGUCUGUAGCUGGUCAGGCGUGCUUGCCUAAAAUGUACUUUAGUAGUUGCUAGAUCCAUGCUAGCUUCUAUGUUGCUCUUGCAGCCUCAACUAGCUAAUUUUAUUUAAAGCAAAUGUUGUUCUAUCCUUCCAAUUACUGUUAUUCAGAUCUUCUUUUCUUUUUUCUGUUGUCAUUCACAGUACAAAUGUUAUGAGAAUUUCAGGAAUUUUGUCAUAUAUUUCUCCUAGUUACCUUAAUUUUGUAAAUUGUGGUCUAAUUCAAUUUUGAGUUUGUUUUCAGAAAAGCCUACUUUAAAGCUGUGUAAAUCCAUUAUUUCCUUUGAGUUUGCCGUGGAGGUGAGUUGGGAACCUUUUUUAUACUUGGUGGAUGCAUUGAUGUAGUGACAGAGACUUGCCUGAAUGUUGUUUUCUUCCGCGUGAAGUGCUUACAAUUCUCAAAGGCGUCAACAAGUCCCGGAGGAGACUGACAAGGUGCAGGCAAGAUCUCAAGUUCAUUGCUAUCUUUUUCUGUCUGAACAUUUUCUUAUUUGGAGUUGCAGCCGAUUUAUGGUGUGUCAACCGACUUGGCUUAGGAUGUAUUGUAGUUGGUUUGGUUGCAUCAACCAACAAGUCUUAUUAUGUAUUGCAGUUGGUUUGGUACCAUCAGCCGAUUGGCCAGUUGGAAAACCAGCGGGGAAAACAUGUACUAUGAGAUCCCCUCGCAUUCAGAGUUUAGAGCUUGAUGAACAAUGUUGUGUGAGCUUGUUGAUGAUCUGCUAUUUUUCACAAAAUUGGGACAUGUCGGAUGGUCGAUGUGAGGUUCUCUAAGUAAAAAAUUUCCUCAUUUGUCCGUUCUGAUAGGCUGAUGGAAUUUUGUUGAUAAGAACCUACAGUUUCUUGGGUAAGUUUGGGUUAGGAGUUCCGUAUAUAUGCGCCAGGAAAGUAUAUAGGGAAAUCAUGAUAUGCUUUUUUUGCAGUGCCAACACUGAAAAUGUAGAGUGUGUCAUGCAUGACUUUUAUAUGUGUUUUAGGAAUUGGAGGAUAGCUCUAUAAACAAAAUUCCUUAUUCUGCACUUCUCUGCUUUGCUUGGCAGGAAUUCUUGUUGUAAAGAGCGAAGGCAUGGUUUGGUUUGCAUGACAUUAUCUUCAAUUGGCUGGAGAUAUAUAAAUGUUGAUACUUGAUUUUCUCACCUGGCAUCUUAUCACUUCUGUGAACGACACUUCAUUUUCUCAUAGUAAUAGUUCUUUAUUAUUGUUGAUACAUAAAUGGAUCUUUAUUGAUUGGUACUUGUAUGUGUGUAUGGAGAAUGGUGAUUAACCUUUUAAAUAAUCUAUUAUCCAACUAGGUGAUUCUAAUUUCUGCUUAGAUUAUACUAUAACAAUAUGAUUAGCAAAAAUUCAAACGGUUGUAUAUUUGACACAUACUGCAAUGGGCCGAAGCCCGCCUGUAUAUUUUGUUCAAAUACUGAAAUUCAUUUACAGGGGAUUAUAAUCUUGGGCGCUAUGCAUUGAGAAAGUGUGCAUUUAGAUAAGAGAUUUAUAUAAUUAACGCAAAGAUGUGCAAUGUGUUUUUUCAACAAGAAUGCUGAUCAUGAAGAAUGAUAAUCAAAU
rnacentral:lncRNA from 1 species